GUGCUCGCCUGGGCAGUACAUAUACUAAAAAUUGGAACGGUGCAGAGAUUAGCAUGGCCCCUGCGUAAGGAUGAUACGCAAAUUCGUGAAGGGUUCCAUAUUUAA